rnacentral:lncRNA from 1 species
UCUAAGGUUUAAGUGCGAGAAUAUGUAUUAUCCCCGGGGUUGGAGAAGCACCUGGAACCAGUGUUAAUAGUUUACUCCAUCCAGCUCCUUCCGUUCACAUGAAGGCGGGGGGCUGGGUGCCUGUGUGCCAGGGUCAGCUGAAUAACUUGGAGUUUUCUGGAAUAACUUUCCUGUAGAGUAUGAUGUUUAUUAAGUGAUAAAGAUACAAAUGAAUUGAUUGAAGCUUGCAUAGGUGUAUAAGUUUCGCCAGACUGCUGUCACAAAUGACCACAAACUGUGUGGCUUAAAAUAACAGACAUGUAUUCCUCAUGGUUCUCGAGGCUGGAGGUCUGCAGGGCUGGUUCCUUUGGAGGCUGGGAGAAGGAAUCGGCCCCCUGCCUCUCUCCAGCUUCUGGUGGUGGCUGGGGCCAUCGGGGUACUGCUUGGCUCUCAGACACAUUGCCUGAUCUCUGCUCCAUGUUCACAUCUUCCACAUUCUCUUGUGUUGUCUUGGUUUUCUUCCCCUCUUCUUAUCAGGACACUAGUCACUUUGGAUGAAGGACCCACCAUACUUCAGUAUGGUUUCAUCUUAACUUGAUUGCUUCUGCAAAGACCCCCCACUUCCAGAUAAAGUCACCUUCACAGGUACCAGGGGUUAGGACUUGAACAUAGCUUUUUGGGCGAUGCAUUUCAACCCAUCACACACGCGCACACACGUGCACGCACACACACACACCCAAAUAUAUGUAAUGAAAACUCAACAGUCACAAGAGCAAUUAUUUAGAACUUUCAUCAACAAAUGAUUGUGUGUGUGUGUGUGUGUGUGUGUGUGUGUGUGUGUGUAGGACUGUUUCAUCACUAACUGUGUUUGGAAUGACUCUCUUGUUGGGAUAAAAGCAGGCCAGUUUUGCUUGGCUUACUUAUCGUGUAUGAAUUAUCUUUUAACAGAAAUUUUCUGUACCCCAGGCAAGACCAUUCCCUUCAUCCCAGCCCAGGUAGCUGCUGUCCCCAAACACCCUCAGUGGGCAUGAGGUGGUCCUCAUAAUUCCUGGUGAUGUCCAUUUCUUCUUCCAUGUUUUCAAACAGCGGUAUGGCACUUUGAGGUGAAAUAUGGCUCUAUUUAAUGUCACUGGUUUCUUGAAGCUCUGAGUUUUCUGGGACCACAAGUUUUACUUGAAGACCUUCUCCGAUCAAACAACUCUGCCGCUGCAGCUUGAAAACAACCACAGACAACACACACACAAAUCCAGCGUGGCUGUGUUCCGACGCAAUUUGACAAAAACAGGCACUGGCCAGACUUGGCCCAUGGACUGCAGUUUGCCAGCCUCUGAACUUAGAGGAAAAAAAUUGGAAGAAUGGAGUGAACCUUGAGCACAGGGAGGAGCAGGCACUGAAGCUGUCUGUGUGCUCUUUUCCUGUCUUGAUGGAGAACAAGACAUUUGUAUGCUUUCACAAAACAAAGACAAGUGUAACUGUGAGUUCAAAGAUUACAUCAUUGAUUUCAGUAGUGUUGAUACUUUAAGCAUUUGCUAUGUUUCCUCUGAGCUAUUGGGACAUUACACUGAGAUGCAGUCGGUGGUAUGGGGAGGUGCUCAGGGGUUCUCCUCUCUGCCCUCACUGCUUGGUGCUUACAGACAGCUACUGAAGCAGUGCCUUUCAUGCUGGGGAGCCUGACUAUUUGCAGGUUGUUAAAUCAAUUUAAUGGGUCGUGGUCUGCAUUUGAAAGAAUAGAACUGGCUCAACUUCCUUGGGCUAGAAUGGAAAAUCACAAGGUACAUCCUUUAUAGUAUUUUGUGAAUUUUUGUUGUACACUUGAACAUAUAUAAACAUAUAUGGGAUGCAUACAUAAUAAAGAACUAUUAGGGGAAAAUCAAGCUGUUUUUUGUAAAGUUAAAACUUUGGAAAGAGUAUAGUCGAGUCACAAACUUUUCUCUGUUAAGUUAUACCUAGAUGUGAUGAUUGUGAAAAAUUGGCAAACAAAAACUCUAGAAAAAGUUUGCAUUCAGAUUGUUUCCCAAUGGCUUCCUAAGUUACUGAAAGACAUCUCAACUAGAAUUUAGGAAUAGACACUUUCAGUGUUAU